CACACACACACACACACACACACACUCACACACUCACACACUCACACGCGCGCACACACACGUCUUAUGUAACCCAGCCCGGGCUGAGCAGGGCUGCAGAAAGCAGACACGCCGACCCCGGCUCGCGGGAGCAGGUCUCUGCCUCCGCGCGGGGGCCCGGCCGUGUGGCCGGAGGGAGCGGCCGGAUGGAGCGGAGGAUGAAAGGCGGAUACUUGGACCAGCGAGUGCCCUACACCUUCUGCAGCAAAUCUCCCGGAAAUGGGAGCUUGGGCGAAGCGCUGAUGGUCCCGCAGGGGAAGCUCAUGGACCCGGGCUCCCUGCCGCCUUCCGACUCAGAAGAUCUCUUCCAGGAUCUCAGUCACUUCCAAGAGACGUGGCUCGCUGAAGGUGAGUAGUUUUGUUGUCUUUAUGGAAUUAGAAGUGGGGUGUAGGGGGG